UACGGAGGGACUAGCGUUGUUCGGAAUUACUGGGCGUAAAGCGCACGUAGGCGGAUCUGUAAGUCAGGGGUGAAAUCCUGGGGCUCAACCUCGGAACUGCCUUUGAUACUGCAAAUCUCGAGUCCGGAAGAGGUGAGUGGAAUUCCUAGUGUAGAGGUGAAAUUCGUAGAUAUUAGGAAGAACACCAGUGGCGAAGGCGGCUCACUGGUCCGGUACUGACGCUGAGGUGCGAAAGCGUGGGGAGCAAACAGG
rnacentral:rRNA from 1 species